UUCAUGUCACAGUUACAUGAAUAAAACAUUUAUGUUCUUUAUUGCUGUUAUAUUUUCAGAUAAACUGAUUGUUUGAAAAGAAAAUGAUGUGCUGUGGUGUUCCCUCAUUGUGAAUCAGGUUAAAGAGCCCCAGACCUGCAGGAAACACUCAUUCACACAUGCAUACAGAGAAAUAUGAAAUAAAAAGCUGCACAUGCGUCUCAUGAGAGCAGCUGCAGGUUAAACAGUGGCUCCUCUCAGUCAGUGAUCUCCAUGGUGUCAGCAGAUCUCAUUACACAGACAGGACAGAGACUUUCCAUACCCACAAUUAAUGCAGCGUGGACCUCUGAGAGCAAUCCCAAAAUGCACUGCACUUUUUAUUCCUUGUCAGAUCAAAUGCACACUUACAACACACGUUUUUUUUUUUUAUUAUUAGAUUUAUAUAGUUUCUGAAGAAAAUGUUUUUCUUGUGAAAUAUGAGUUGAUUAUUGAUGUCUAUUAACCCAAGUCCAAGAAAUUCACAUCAAAGUCUAUACAUUAAUACAGUUCCAUUCAGUUAAAGUGUAACACUUACUGUAAUGUCUAGAGUAAUAAUCAACCACCACUAACUAGCAAAAUAAAAUACAAAAUUAUAAAAACAUGAGCCUCUCUUGGAAAAUCUCAGCAAGGCCUGAAAAUGAGCAUUUUAGAAGCUCGUUGUACAGUAUUACAGGAAACGCUCUGCACUUCACAGAAUGAGAGAUCUUCUAGAAAGCUCUCCAGAUAAUUCUCCAUCCCCUCACAAGUGCUUACCGGCUCUAUUUCUGCCUGGUAAGUACCCUAGAGAGAGUGUGCAAGGGUCUCUGCGGUAUAUUGCUCUGUCAAUAUGCCUAAUUUGCAGGUACACACGACUGGGAUGAAGUCGCUGACAAACACAGGGAAGAAAUGACGACUUUGUCAUCAUUUAUUGUCACCUUUUUCCUUCUAGGAUUCUCUUGUUCUUUACGGAGCGAGAGUUGUGUGGGUAAGUGUUGUGAGAUGGGACUCGUUUAGAGACAGGUUGUCAAUAUAUCAGUGUGUGAGUGUGCGUUUGCGUCUUCAGCAGGUAACGUCAGUUUGUCGGUGUCUGUCAGCAAGAACUCGACUCUGCUGGUUGACUGGAACAGCGGGAGCAAACAGACGACCCAAUGUGCUCUGCUCGUCUCAACCGAAGGAAGACAGGAGAUCCAGAUACACCUUUUACCAUGGUUAAAUCUCCAUGUACAGUUCAGUCUUUGACAGAGGCUGUGAAAAGUGUUUCAAGAUCUUCAAUAAGUGCUUUUUUUUCCAGGUCUGGAUCGCUCCAGCUGGAAAACAUGACAGACAAUGGCAAACACUACUUCUUAUGUACUUGUUUUGAACAAUCGCAGGGACUCUUGUGCUCCAAGAACAUAAGUUUUGUUAUGGGCCCUGUCUCUGCACCGCCUCUGGUCCUGAUGUCAGAUACUCAGAGCUCUGCCAGUUACAUCAGCAUGAGAUGGUUGAGCAGCGGUGUGUUUGGAACGACUUUAGCAACAUUUGUCAUUAUUCUAGUCUACAUUAUAUACAGAAGAUGGACGGGGAACGGUGUCUUCCAACUGCGUCUGAGAUAAAGAAAGACUCGCCUGGGAAUUUAAAGGAGUAGUUAACCCAAAUAUUAAAAUGUGCUGAAAAUGUAUUUACUCUCAGACCAUCCAAGAUGUAAAUGAGUUUGUUUAUGGGAACAGAUUUAGAGAAAUGUAGCAUUGCAUCACUUGCUCACCAAUGGAUCCUCUUUAGUGAAUGGGUGCCGUCAGAAUGAGAGUCUAAACAGCUGAUAAAAACAUCAUAAUAAUCCACAAGUAACCUACUCCACUCCAGUCCAUCAGAUAAUAUACAGUGAAGUGAAAAGCUGUGUGUUUAUAAGAAAUCCAUCGUUAAGAUGUUUAACUUUAAACUGUUGCUUCCAGCUAAACUAUA